GAGGGAUUUUCGGCAAUGGGCGCAAGCCUGACCGAGCGACGCCGCGUGAGCGAAGAAGGCCUUCGGGUCGUAAAGCUCUGUCUAGGGGGACGAGGAAGGACGGUACCCCUGGAGGAAGCCACGGCUAACUACGUGCCAGCAGCCGCGGUAAUACGUAGGUGGCGAGCGUUGUCCGGAAUUACUGGGCGUAAAGGGCGCGCAGGCGGUUCGUUAAGUCCAAGGUGAAAUCCCACGGCUCAACUGUGGGGGGACCCUGGAUACUGGCGGGCUGGAGUGCGGGAGAGGGAAGCGGAAUUCCACGUGUAACGGUGAAAUGUAUAGAUAUGUGGAGGAACACCGGUGGCGAAGGCGGCUUCCUGGACCGUAACUGACGCUGAGGCGCGAAAGCUGGGGGAGCGAACAG
rnacentral:rRNA from 1 species